rnacentral:rRNA from 1 species
UACGGGGGGGCAAGCGUUGUUCGGAAUUACUGGGCGUAAAGGGCUCGUAGACGGCCAACUAAGUCAGACGUGAAAUCCCUCGGCUUAACCGGGGAACUGCAUCUGAUACUGGAUGGCUUGAGAUUGGGAGAGGGAUGCGGAAUUCCAGGUGUAGCGGUGAAAUGCGUAGAUAUCUGGAGGAACACCGGUGGCGAAGGCGGCAUCCUGGACCAACACUGACGCUGAGGAGCGAAAGCCAGGGGAGCAAACGGG